CAGGAACUGCCACGGCCCGUACGUGGAACUGCACAGCUUCUGGCAGCGUUUACGCAGGUUUCGCGGGAGGCUCAGGCCCGUGCGCUCCACCAGUGCCUCCGUGUGCGCUCAACACGACCAAAUGCUUCGCAGGAGACAACCAGGGCGCGCAGCCAGCACUACCGUCGGGAUACCUGCGCUACUUUGGCUGCCGUACAGUGAAUAACCUCCUGAACUACGUGGUGACCUCCGUUAUUACCUCCGCGGAGGACUCAAACGCUGAGCUCAUUGGGAUCACCUGCUGCUAUGCCGGCCCGUGUUAGGUGCUCGGCUGGCAGAACUUGUUGCUCUGCAACAACAGCAGACUAAGAGGUUUGGUGACCACAGGGCGUUUCCAAACUUAAAGUUCGGACGCACGACAGCGACUAACAACAGUUUCAUCGCUUCAGCAUCUAUGUGCUCGUAAGAGCGUGAGAUCAGUUCAAGUCGUUUAUUGGCUUUAUUAAC